rnacentral:rRNA from 1 species
UACGUAGGCAGCAAGCGUUGUUCGGAGUUACUGGGCGUAAAGGGUGCGUAGGCGGCUUCUUAAGUCUGGUGUGAAAUCUCCCGGCUCAACUGGGAGGGUGCGCCGGAUACUGAGGGGCUAGAGUGUGGGAGAGGAAAGUGGAAUUCCUGGUGUAGCGGUGAAAUGCGUAGAUAUCAGGAGGAACACCGGUGGCGAAGGCGGGUCUCUGGGCAAUAACUGACGCUGAGGAGCGAAAGCGUGGGGAGCGAACAGG